rnacentral:rRNA from 1 species
UACGUAGGUGGCAAGCGUUGUCCGGAUUUACUGGGCGUAAAGAGCGCGCAGGCGGUCGUUCAAGUCGCGUGUGAAAGCCCCCGGCUCAACUGGGGAGGGUCACGCGAUACUGAUCGACUCGAAGGCAGGAGAGGGUAGUGGAAUUCCCGGUGUAGUGGUGAAAUGCGUAGAUAUGCGGAGGAACACCGAUGGCGAAGGCAAUCCCCUGGGCCUGCACUGACGCUCAUGCACGAAAGCGUGGGGAGC